AAUAGAUACCCGGGUAGUCCACGCCGUAAACGGUGGGCGCUAGGUGUGGGCGACAUUCCACGUCGUCCGUGCCGCAGCUAACGCAUUAAGUGCCCCGCCUGGGGAGUACGGCCGCAAGGCUAAAACUCAAAGGAAUUGACGGGGGGCCCGCACAAGCGGCGGAGCAUGUGGCUUAAUUCGACGCAACGCGAAGAACCUUACCAAGGCUUGACAUACACCGGAAACGUCCAGAGAUGGGCGCCCCCUUGUGGUCGGUGUACAGGUGGUGCAUGGCUGUCGUCAGCUCGUGUCGUGAGAUGUUGGGUUAAGUCCCGCAACGAGCGCAACCCUUGUCCCGUGUUGCCAGCAGGCCCUUGUGGUGCUAGGGACUCACGGGAGACCGCCGGGGUCAACUCGGAGGAAGGUGGGGACGACGUCAAGUCAUCAUGCCCCUUAUGUCUUGGGCUGCACACGUGCUACAAUGGCCGGUACAAUGAGCUGCGAUACCGCGAGGUGGAGCGAAUCUCAAAAAGCCGGUCUCAGUUCGGAUUGGGGUCUGCAACG
rnacentral:rRNA from 1 species